rfam:Aureimonas sp. Leaf454 contig_9, whole genome shotgun sequence.
AAGUUUCGCGUCGGCCAUCCUCCUCCCAAAGGCCGAAGCGGAUCGUCCGCGGCAUCCUCCUCCCAGCCGCUGGGCAACAACACGACGCCCGCCGGUCCUCCCCCGGCGGGCGUUGUCG